rnacentral:rRNA from 1 species
UACGAAGGAUGCAAGCGUUAUCCGGAUUUAUUGGGUUUAAAGGGUGCGUAGGCGGACUUAUAAGUCAGUGGUGAAAUCUCGUUGCUUAACAACGAACGUGCCAUUGAUACUGUAGGUCUUGAGUACAGAUGCCGUUGGCGGAAUGUGUCAUGUAGCGGUGAAAUGCAUAGAUAUGACACAGAACACCGAUUGCGAAGGCAGCUGACGAAACUGUAACUGACGCUGAGGCACGAAAGCGUGGGGAUCAGACAGG